UUGCUUUGGCAGCACAUAUGCAAAAACUGAAAUGAUGUGGGGAUAACAUAAUUUCUGCCCAAGGAUAGCAUGCAAUUUCAUGAAAUGUUCCAUAUAUUU
rnacentral:snRNA from 1 species